UACGAAGGGGGCUAGCGUUGCUCGGAAUGACUGGGCGUAAAGGGCGCGUAGGCGGUUCGUACAGUCAGACGUGAAAUUCCCGGGCUCAACCUGGGGGCUGCGUUUGAUACGUGCGGACUUGAGUUCGGAAGAGGGUCGUGGAAUUCCCAGUGUAGAGGUGAAAUUCGUAGAUAUUGGGAAGAACACCGGUGGCGAAGGCGGCGACCUGGUCCGAUACUGACGCUCAUGCACGAAAGCGUGGGGAGCAAACAGG
rnacentral:rRNA from 1 species